rnacentral:rRNA from 1 species
GGGCCCGCACAAGCGGUGGAGCAUGUGGUUUAAUUCGAUGAUACGCGAGGAACCUUACCAGGGCUUAAAUGUAGUGGGACAGGUCUAGAGAUAGACCCUUCUUCGGACUCAUUACAAGGUGCUGCAUGGUUGUCGUCAGCUCGUGCCGUGAGGUGUCAGGUUAAGUCCUAUAACGAGCGCAACCCCUGUUGUUAGUUGCCAGCGAUUCAAGUCGGGAACUCUAACAAGACUGCCGGUGCAAACCGUGAGGAAGGUGGGGAUGACGUCAAAUCAUCACGGCCCUUACGUCCUGGGCUACACACGUGCUACAAUGGCCGGUACAGAGAGCAGCCACUUCGCAAGAAGGAGCGAAUCUAUUAAAACCGGUCUCAGUUCGGAUCGGAGUCUGCAACUCGACUCCGUGAAGCUGGAAUC